GGUGCCAUCCCGACCCACUUGUGGAUCCUCUGCCUAACAGAAAAGGUUGCAGUCUGGCUAGUCUGCCCAGGGAGCAAUGCCCACUCUCUGCAUCAGUGCAGAGGGCCAAGAACAUUUCACGGAGCAGACCAGGACUGCAGGUCAGGGGACCAGGGUGCGGCGAUGAAGCCCAAGUUUUCCAACCAAAGACUGGUGUUUUAUACAUGUUCCUUUCAGGCGAGGCAGCCAUCUCGAGAUAGGAGAAACAGAUUCUGGGAAAAGGUGAUAUUGGGACAGAAUAUUUAACCUCAGACUGGUCCUGGGAAAGAAACCCAGAAUGGAUGACUGCCAUCCUGUGCUGGGAAUUUAGGUAUCUGAGUUCCGAGCUGCACAACUGGAAUUCACAAGAACUUAAAGCGUGGGAACAACAGCCACACUAUACUCGCUUAUGUUGAUUGAUUUAGUACUCAGACACCGUGCUAAGUGACGUUCAUGAGUUUUAACUUGUUAAAGUUUCACAACAACCCUACAGGGUAGGUGCUAGAUUACCUCCACUCUUCAGAUGGGAAGCGGAGGCAAUGCUCAAGGAACGCUGGGGACAGCCAGGCUCAUCUUCACAGGCAGCACCACCAUUUGCAUAGAAGGGGAUAAACCAGAAGGCAGAAACAGGUGCUACCCAGGCAGUGCCUGCAUUAUGCAAAUGUGCCCAUUCUUGGCCCCUGAUUUCCAGAGGGGGGAGGGGAAAUAGGCAGGCAGUUGGAGAGGCUAGCUGUUGAGGGGCCAGUGGUAAAAUGGAGGCAACUGGAAAAAGAAAGCAAUUCCCGUAUGUUGACCUAAGGAGAGGUCCAUCCACAGGAGCGGAGAUGAUUAGGUCAUUUCACGAUGCCACCUGAGCGCCUUCACUUUCCAGAAAAUUAAGAGAAAUGCAAACCAUGUGUUGUAAGUAGCACGCUCUCUUUUCAGCUCUACCUGGCCUCUCAGCCCCACUGUAAGAGACACGUAUCCCUGACUUGGCUCCAAAGGUCACAGUUGCUCCUUCCCCAUCCAAAGGUUUGGGGGAUGGUAAACCGCUGGGAUACCUGACUUCUUCCUCUCAAACCAGAAAAUGCACUUGAUGUCCAUUCAGUGCAGGACUGAUUUGGGGACAGCCUUGGGGCUCUCUGUCUCCCAUUCUCCAGGGAGGAAAGUGAGAUGCACUUGUUCCCAGGGACCUUUUGUGAAAUGGAGCUGGCCAAGCUGUGUUUCUCCCUUCUUAACCCUCAGCUAGGUCCCUGCAGGGACCGGUUUGGCUCAGUGGCAUUUGGCCUGGAAUAGAGCUGGGGUUCCUGCUCUUGCUAGUGUCAUUAUUACCAGGUUUGCGGUUUUGUCUGGAGUUUGGGGAACCGAUUCUCCAGGGAGCUGGGACCAAGUCUUGUAUUUCUCCUUGUGUUCUCCCUUACUCUUGGCCAUUUCUCAGAACUUCUUAGAACCUCCACCAGGGUGGAAGGAAGAAAACAGGAGGGGCAACUCCAGGUCGCUUGGUAGGCUUGCAGGUUGGUGGACCUGGGAAAACCAGCUAGCACCUGGAGGUUAGGAACACCAGAACUAUUCCCCAAACUCGGAACAGAGACGGCACCCAAUGAAUAUAUCAAAUAAAAACAUCAAUGAAUCCUGCAUGGGGGAGAAACCCUACAAGAUGUGGGUUAGAAAAAAAUUAUCUGCAGGGGCGCCUGGGUGGCUCAGUCAGUUAAGCAUCUGACUUCAGCUCAGGUCACGAUCUUGCGGUUCGUGAGUUUGAGACCCACCUUGGGCUCUGUGCUAACAGCUCAGAGCCUGAAGCCUAUUUCAGAUUCUGUGUCUCCCUCUUUCUGCCCCUCCUGCCUGCUCACACUCUGUCUCUGUCUCCCUCUCUCAAAAGUAAAUAAACAAAAAAAAAUUAUCUGUUGAUGUUGAAGGCAAGGGAUAAUUUGUGAGUUAACUGUGUCAGGUUUACAAAUUUGCCAUGAUUUCCAAAAUAAUCUCUUCAGAACCUUUUUUUUUUUUUUUUUAGCCCUUGGAUUGAAUGUUUAUUUAGUUUUGAAAGAGAGACAGAGACAGAGUAAGCAGGGGGGGGGGGGCAGAGAGAGAGGGAGACACAGAAUCCAAAGCAGCUCCAGGCUCCCAGAUGUCAGCCCAGAGCCCGACGUGGGGCUCAGACUCACGAAAUGUGAGCUCAUGACCCAAGUCGAAGUUGAUGCCCAACCGGCUGAGACACCUAGGCGCCCCUAGAUCUUGGGUUUAAUUCUCCAGAAUUUAUAUUACAGUUCUGUCUGAUGUUUGAACCAGAUUAAUUUAGAUUUGAGCAGUUUUGUCACAGCUUUUCAUCUUUGCCUAACUCUGACUGGACUAGGUUUGCUCCCCAGUUAAAAAGCAGAGUUGUAAAUGGGCAAUGCACUCUGGAUGGUUGUGUUGCCUUAAAAUGGCUUUGGGGCAGAAGCUCUUUUGAGCCCUAGCCCCACAACCAAUGCCAGUCCUUGAAUCAUUGUUUUAGCUUCAGAAAGGACCCUUGAGUGGUCUCCGGGUCUAAUGACCUUAUUUACUGGUUGACAGUAAACUGAGACUCAGUUAGGGGAAGUGACUGUGACAGAGGGAAUUAUUACUCCCUGAUUCUUCAUGCCUUUCCUUCACACCCUUUGCCUUGUGGCUCUGCUGUUCUUCUGGCUAGAGUAGGCAGAGUAUAUUUUCCCUACUCCCAUUGAUGUUGGGCACAAGUCACCAGCCAAGGCCCUAGGAGGCACCUCAUGUUUCCACCAGUCCUCUAGCAUUCCAAUGAUCCAUCAUGAGAAGAACAUUCCCCGGGUAGCCACAGGGUCCAAGGAAAAUGAGCAAACCUAUGGAGUAGACAUGAAACCCACCCACAGCCUGAACCAAACAUAAUCAUGCUGUAGCUGGAAGGAGAACUGCUCGGUCGGUCAGUGCCUGCUAAGAUGACUCAAACCACAGUCAACCUGUAGAUAUGUGAGCAGGAGAAUAAAUUCUUGUGGUGCUAAACCACUGAGUUUAGGGAUGGUUUGUUAGGCAGUUUCCUGAGUUAAUGGCUGACUGAUACAGUUACUGGGCUGAAACCCCACUCCCUAUUCCCCUCUGACUGGAGCACAUUUUUCCCUCUAAAGAGAUCUAGCAAUGCUGUGGGGUCCUGAGUCUACUCACCAUCCACACCAUCAUGUAGGAGAAGGCUGCAAUCCAUAACGUGGAGGAAGCAAAUGUCACCAUGAACCACUUUUCCCAGCGUGGCUUGUUGCAGUUGGGUACCGUGAAGUAUAAGACAAAACUCAGUGGCCAGGUGAAUGCCCACUUCACUGUUUCCAGUUUUCCAGCUGGGAAAAUAAAAAAGGCAGAAAGCACAUUAGUUAGCUUCCUCUCUCUGUUUUACCAGCCCUCCAUGCUGCUUGCCCCUGACAUUUACAGCCUAAUUGAUGGCCUGGGAAAUAAGCCUUAUCACGUUGUUCUUUACAUAAAAGACACAAAUGGCUUUCCACCAGCCACGAAACAUGGCGUUCAAAACCCAGUAGAAAAAAAAAAAAGGUAUCCACUGCUCACCUGCUAGUUAGGCACCCAAAUGACAGAUAUGUCACUUCUGAGCACACAGGGCUGGGAGGAUGGUUUGGCAAAUGGGGCCAGGUGGGAAAGGAUGAGGAUGAUUCUCAGACACAAAGGGAGAGGAGUGUGUGGGGGUGGGGUGAAGGUGGGGGAGGGGAGCUAGGCAGACCACCAGUCUGCCUGGGGUCUCUUCUCCCCAUGGUUAGAUAACACAAUCUUACAAGAUUAUAAAGUGUCAGUGGUCACAGCGCCAUCUAGUGGAAUUGCUCAAUAUUGUCUGUCAACUCACUGAAAUCUUGAAAGAUGGUUUGAAAGUUGUCAAAACACUGCCUGGGGGUAUCUCAAGCUGAUACGAAUUUGCAAAUUAGUCAUUGAUUUCUGGCUCUCUAAAUACCUGCUUUCAGGGAUGAGGUGAUGGAUUGGCCAGUGAUGACCUGAUCCUAUCAUCUCUGUGUUGUCUGAGCUCUGUGUUUCAGGCAUACCCAUAAAUGCUUAUUUUGGUGACUCUAUUUCCAUGAGUUCCUUGUCGUCUCAGAUUUGACAACCAUAUCAGGUCUCAUUUGGCCUUUAUUACAAUCCUGCUUAAGGGCUAAUACCUCUGGUAAGAAAUGCAUUGUAUAUACUCCCUGCUCCAAUGGAGAUAAAAGAACAUUUCCACCUUCCAGAAAGUUCCCUGAAUCUCUUUCCAGUCAAUCCUCCACCCUCUGCCACCAUAGAUUAGUUUUUCCUGUUGUCCACCUUCAAAUAAAGAAAAUCACAUGGUGCAUGAUUUUAGUCAACAUGUUUUUUGAGAUUCAUUCGUGUGUCAGGAAUUCAUUCCGCUUAGAUUGCUGUAUAGUCUUAUUAUACACAACUUAUUAUCCAUCCUCCUGUGGAUGGGACUUUGGGGUUGUUGCCAGUUUUGAAGUAUUACAACUAAUGUGGCCAUGAGCAUUCCUGUAUACUUUUUUUGGUGGGCAUGUUUUUAUCUCUCUUUGGUUGAAGACCCUGGAGUAGAACUGCUGAGUCACAGGGUGGGUGUUUUUUCUAACUUUGUUAAGAAACUGUUGAGAAGUCUCCCAAAAAUGAUUGUCCCAUUUUAUACUCCCACCAGAGUUAAGGAGGUAUUUUUAAAAUGACACUUUGAACAGUGAUUAGUAAACUGCUAAAUGAAAUUUAUUUUGUAAUUUUAUAGCGGUAUCCACCACUUUCCCAGUUCGCUGCUAUGAGAUGGGAACAAAUGCCACAGACACCAGGGACUGUUUGGCUGGAUUUCAAAGCAAGAAAGCUGUCGGGGGAUUUUUGUGAGCAUUUUUACAAAUGCUGUAGAAUCCAGAACAUAGUCAGACUCUUGGAUCCCAAAGGAAUCCUGGAGUCCUGCGUGCUGCUAAAUCCUGUGAUGUAGGGAUGUCAGUUACGCAUCUCGGGCUCUGGGGACCCCCUCACUGGCCUUCCAGUCUUCCUGAGGCCCCUGCACAGACAGACUUGGUCCAAUUUAAAUACACACAGCCCAUCAAAGUUAUAAAGAAAUACAGCAAUGGGAAGGGGAAUGACUGCCAUCUGGCUCUUUGUCAUCCUUCAGAAAUUCUUCAGAAAAUUAAAUAAACAAAAAAAGAAAUCGGAACUUAUGACUGCAGGAGCUUAGAAAAUGAUAUUAAGUAAAGCUGGAAGCAGUACAUGUUAGGACCAAUGAAUUUUGAGUUUUCUUCUCUCAGCUGCUUUAGAAAGUUCUGACUUGACUCUGGUUAGGGCCUUAUAUCUAGAAAAGAGUCUUCUGUUUCAUGAUAUAGAUGCUUUCUGCGAGUUAUGGCUCCACUGCAACAACAAACAUACAGCAGAAAUUCAAUCAGUAUGGGGAACCUGGGUGGCUCAGUCGGUUAAGCAUCCGACUUCUGCUCAGGUCAUGAUCUUGUGGUUUGUGAGUUCGAGCCCUGCGUCGGGCUCUGUGCUGACAGCUCAGAGCCUGGAGCCUGCUUCGGAUUCUGUGUCUCCCUCUCUCUCUGCCCCAUCCACUGCUCACGUUCUCUCUCUGUCUCUCAAAAAUGAAUAAACAUUAAAAAAAUUUUUAAAAAUUCAAUCAGUAUAAUCUGGAAUGUAAUGUAACAAAUACAGCUCCUUCAGCAAACCAAGUGAUACAGAAAUGUGCUUUUUAAGUGAUCUUGAAGAACUGCAGCAGCAAAUAAGGAACAUUCCUAUAUUUUGGUGUGUUCUUUUUCCUGUGGAAGUGUGUUUACCUACAUUCACAUAUAAACGUUUCUAUUUCUGUUAGUCAAUGGUAAGGCUUUCUUCAUGCAAGGAUAAGAAUAUAUGUUCAACUUAUACUCUGCAUAGGUGUAUAUGAUUUACAUAUGUGCCAUAUGAAUUUAACCUCUAUGUAUAUUAUAUGCACAUAUAAACACAGAGAUGCAUGUGCAUAUUUUAGCUAGCUUAAGUUUCCAUUUCUAAAUAAAGAGGUAAAAAUGGUUUCCUUUCCUCUCUGAGUCAACAGUAUUUCUGGAUAUUUCCCCAUCUUUUCUUCCAUUGCUAUGUGAUCCAAAGAGAGUGCCCUGGGGACAGGUUUAUUCCUUCAUUUGACGAAUAUUCAUUGAAUGCUCCUCUGCCAGUGUGCACCAGGUGCUGCUUCAGGUUUUAAGGAUACAGCCAUGAAUGAAGAAAACAAAACUCUCUGUGCAUGAACCCGAUGUACCAGUGAUCAUGUGAUUUCUCGGAAGUCAGCCAGCAACUGAGAGAUGAAGCCAGGGGACAUGAAGCGGGGACUCUGAGCAUUACAGUAUCCCUUUGAGUGUGACUUGCCUCUAAAAAGCAAAGGACCUGUUCUUAAGUUAUACUCCUUAUUGAGUUUUUAAAGAAGCUUAAUUCUAUUGAGAAGAAAAAGUCAUUGCUCAUUAUCAUAGGCCUAGAUUAAAUAUAUCAAUUUGUUCUAACUAUACAGGCAAUAAAAAUGUUUUAGAAUGGAAAAUCUAGAAAAAUUUAAACAAUAAUUCCACCUAGGAUAAACAUACUCAUAUUUUGGCAUACUUCUAUUGAGUCUUUUUUUCUGUGGAAGUAUGUUUGCCUAUGUAAACAUUUCUAUUUCUGACAGUCAAUAGUAAUAAUUUCUUCAUGCAACAGAUAUGAAUAUAUGUGCAAUUUACAUGUUUAUAUAUGCACAUACAUAUAUACUGUGCAUAGGUGUAUAUAAAACAUACAUACGAUAUGAGCUUAGCCUAUACACAUAUUAUACACACAUAUAAAAACAGGUAUGUUAAUAUCUGUGCAUAUAUAAGCAUAAAACAGUAUACAGAUUUAUAUAGUAUAUGAAUAAACAUGUUAGACGUAUACAUUAUAUCAACAUGUGCACACUGCACAUAUAUGCACAUGCUUAUAUUCAUGCAUGCCCAUGUAUGUGCACAUAUAUGCAUACACAAUGUAUGUGUGCACAUGUACAUACAUCAUAGAUAUGCCUGUAUUUACAUACUUCUACAUAAUUUCUUAUUAUUUUUUUUUAAAUGUUUACUUAUUAUUGAGAGACAGAGAGACAUAGAACGUGAGCAGGGGAGGAGCAGAGAGAGGGGGAGACACAGAACCUAAAGCAAGCUCCAGGCUCUGAGCUGUCAGCACAGAGCCCGACAUGGGGCUCGAACCCACAAACUGUGAGAUCAUGACCUGAGCCGAAGUCAGUUGUCUAACCAACUGAGCCACCCAGGUGCCCCUCUACAUAAUUUCUUAAAUACUAAUUAUACUCAUUAUAAUCAAAUUCUGGAGAGAAGAAAGCCCUACAGCUGUGACAGGAACAAAGACAGCCCAUGCCCCUGCAAGAUUACUGUGAGAAGGAGAAAUGUCCUCAUUGUGUGGCCAGACCUUUUUCAGGCCAAAGGAACUUAGUGCAGAGGAACUGGAUGUUCCUAGACUGAGUCCUCCCAGCUCCUCGAGUGGCCUCUGUUGGCCACUGCUUGAAGGGGUCUCCCUGCCCAAGGAAGGGCCUGCUGGACACUCAGAUCAAAGUUCGUGAGUCCGGGAAUGGGGUUUGGCCUCAGUUGGUGGAAGAGGACAGAGGAUCAUAAUUGGAUGAACCCACUCUCCGUUUCAAAGUCAGAACCUGGCUCUGAAUGAGGCUCCCCUAAGGCUCAGGGGAGCUGUAAAGAUCAGCCAUGUGAGGGUGCUACUCCCUCACUGGCUCAGGUGUGGCCCACAGACAAGCGGCACCAGUGUCACCUGGGGGCUUGUUAUAAAUGCAGAAUCUUGGGCCUCCCACCAGACCUUCGGAAUCAGAGCCAUUUUAUCAAGGAUGCCCAAGGUGAAGACCUUGGAUUCCAUUUCAUGUCUUGGUAGCUCGGGCGGGAGGUGGGGGGGAGAGGGGUGGGGGCGGUGAGUAGGAAGGCCCAGGAAUGAAGCAGAGAUCCUGAGGAGUGGCAGGACCACGCAGAGCAUCCUUUCUCCUCUCAUGCCUGUGCUUCCAAAGGAUGUGGAGGCCCCGAAGUGGGCUUCCCGAGCCCUUGUCUACAGCCACAUCUCUUAAUGUACGAGGAGACAAGAUGGAUGAUGUAGCUGGAAGCCCCAGGCCUCCUCAUCUGUAACAAACCUGAGACGAGAAGGGAAGGUGAGCAACAGUUACAAGGUACCUUGAAACCUCAAGGGUUGGCCUGGCAUUUAUCCCAUUCAGGUUAGAAACACAAACAAGUGAUCCGAAGGGGGCCCCUUUGUCCUACUAAGUAACGAGGCUCAGUUGCGGAAGCCACACGUCUGGUGUCACACACGUAUCUUUAGUGUGAGGUAGAGAGGUGUACUUGGGGCUUCUGGGAGGCCGACAUGGCCCCUUACAGAGCAUUAAUCAGUGAAAGACUUUAGCAAAAGUUAUUUUUAGAGCUUGGUUGUGGGCUGCCAGUGGUGAACUCUGAAAGCAAAGGCCAGGCUAGACAGAAUUUAAGAUGUAGGCCCCCAAGAGUCUAUGCCCUGACUCUCAGAACCUGUGAAGGGGGGCUGAGCUACCAGUUCCAUGACUAUGCUAUGCUAUGUAGCAGAGCUGACCUCCUCACGGGGAGGUUAUAUAGUUGGGCCUGAUCUAGGCCCCUCAAAAUCUGAAGGGGAGGGCCAAGAUAUUAGAAGCGUGAGAAGCACCCAAAGCACCAUUGCUAAUUUGAAGAACACAGGCCCUCAAGGGCAGUGGGCAACCCCCAGCUGACAGCCAGCAAGGAAAGAGGACAGCCUUACAACCACAAGGAACCAGAUUUUGCCAACAGUCUGCAUGUGUCUGGGAAUGAUUGUCCCCAGGGAUUCUGGGAAGGACUAAGUCCCGUCUGCACCUCUAAUAUGGCCUUCGGAGCCUCUGAAACCCAGCCACACUGUUUUAAGCCACUAAAUUUGUGGUGAUUUGUUAUGCAGCAAUAGAAAAUGGACAUAAAAGUUCAUAAGGGAGAAAUAGAGGGGACUGGUCACUUCAUCCUUAAAAUGCUUUUGUACUGGCUGAUAGGGAAGAAGGUUGCCAAGAAAUAUAGCCAAAGGUGGCAAAAUGGGUAAUAAGCCAGUAUACUUUUUUUCAGUCAAGAUAACCUUCUAACAAGUAAUGAUUUAACUCUGGCUGGGCAGUUGGGGACUUUGGGAUAUAGGAUCUGAGUGAACAGUGUCUAGUUAAUUUUGGUAAACAUUUGAUGAGGCUGAGAUCUGAGGAGCCUUGAGGGGGCACAGGAGGGCACCUCUGGUCCAAGUUCAACUUGAUGUCCCCUCACAUCUGAAAAUAACACAGAACUCUGAGACUCCACACCCACAUGCUACCAUUAAAUGGCCUUUCAAGUGGGUCAAGCAAUCCUUCCAGAAUUCAGUCCUCCUGGAAAUUCAAACAUCCUGGAGAAGUUGCACACAUUAAUUAAGCCUCACAGAUUUGACCAGGGCACUCUUUCCUAAAGCAGCCAGAAGUUUCUGGAAGGUCUGGCAAAUAGGUAGAAUUCUUUGGGCUUGGUCCACUCAUUCCAAUAAUGGGUGGGGUAGGAGGACAAGGUCUCUGGAAUAGCCAAGUCAUUGUUGGGUAGCAGUCAGGAGAGGACAACUGCCUUGGUGGCUGGGGUCCUGAAAACUAUACAUGCCUUGCUCCUCCCCUUCAAGGUACCAGGGAGAUUCCCGCUACCAGUGUGACUGUAUGAGAUUCAGCUGGGGAUGGGAUGCUUUUGCUAGGUCUGUAUCUUGGUGGUAUUUUAGGUCAUGGGAAAGGAGAAACCUGUAGGGGGGUGGGUGAGGGGUAGGAAGUGAGCAGAAGAACAAAAGCCAACUGGGAAGGCUGCACAUGCUCCCCUAGACUGGCCUUGGCAGGACAGCUCCCCCAGCCAAAUGUAACGGGAUGGGUGAAGGUGGGUGAAGAGCUUCUUCCCUUGAGUACCAAGCUGUCUCCCCAACAUGGGUUGUGAGAAUUUCCUCCUUAGCACCAAAAGGUCCCACAGAGCAGCUAAGAGAAGAUCUUUCUCCAUGAAGUGUCGACAAAUUUUACAUUUUGUCAAAGAACCCACAUUUCAGCUAAUGAUCAUGUGUCACCAUCUUGUUCAUCUCUGAACCCUCUAAAACAGAGUCUUGCCCAUGGUAGAAGUUAAUAUAAAUAUUUCUAUAUUCAUGUAUAGAGAUAGUUCUUUGAAUUGGAUGGCAAAAAGAUCAUCAAAGUCAAGGACAUGUACUCAGUGCCCAAAAAUAGCUCCCGAUCCCAGCCCACACAUAGGUCCUCUUACAGGGGAGGUCGAAUGGUGUGUAUGGUCCUUCAUCAUCAUCUUCAUCCUCCUCUUCCUCUUCAUCAUUCUCGUUGUUGUCAUUGUCCUCAUUCUCAUUCUCUGUCUCGUUACCAGCCUCAGCAACAACAUCAUCCCUCCGAGUCCCAUUCACACCUCUGUCUGGGCCACUGCUGGGCCCUGUCCCAUUCUCCACGGUGUGCUUAAUUGGGAUUUUGAUGGCCACCUCAGAUUCUCCAUUGGCGUAGGCCCUACUGUUUAUGAGUCUUUGCCUCUGGAAAGAGAAAGUCACAUUCUUACCACAGUCAGAGGGAAUGUAGAUCCUUACAACUAGGACACCAGCUAUUAGGACCUUUUUCAGGCUGUGACAGGGAGAUGCUUCCAGAAGACUCUUCAGUCAAGUCUUCAGGGAUUCUUCAAAGUAAUAAGCAACUCAGACAACCUCCUUCUGGGAGGAAGGAUUCACAUGUUAUGACCCACAGGAGUUUGCAAAUCCCUUUAGAGAAAAUAUCCUCUUUCUCCAAUGUGCCCUUCAUUUCUGUCAGCGUUCUCAAUUCCCUGGGCACUGCACUAUUAUCUUUCUUCUUUGGACUGUAGGAAUCACUUGGUCCAUAUAUAAGAAAGCCACAAAAGUGUGUCUGGACUAGUGUAUCAAUAUGGCUGCCACUCCAGAGAAAGGGUUACAUAGGAGAAUUCAGGUCAGAGACUACAUUACUUUAAAGUAAGGCAACCUUGAUUUAGCAACUGCUUCUGUGCAAGUUCACAUCAAAGGGUUUAACCCAUAUGAAAGAUGAAAAGAAAAAGGUAGGUAGAGGGGAUAAGAAAGUUUUUCUGUAUGACUGGGAGCCUGAUCAUAUCUUUCAACACGUGGACACGUGGAGAGAAGAGCAAGAAAUAGGAUGUACAGCUGGCUCCAUCAGCAAAGAUGUUGGGAAAUAACUGAGGAAUAUUAUUGUGUUCAAUGUUGAGUUUGGUAUUUCUGUUUUCAGAACAAGAAAUGUCCUCCCCUUCCCAAAGUCUCCCACCCUGCUCAGUGGCUAAUGCAGUGUUUCCCAGAUACCUCAUUGAUCAACAUGCGACUGGCCAUGGAGAGUCGGGUCUUGGGGGGGAAGUGGCUGGUGAUCAUGAUUCGAAGUCCAGCCUCAGAGAAAGAAAGCUGGUGAGGGUAGGCUGACAGCAGCUCAUCUACCAUGAUCACUGACGCUUUGCGGUGGAAAUUAGCUAGGGAAAUUAAAAACACAAAGUAAAGAAAACAUUGAGGCUAGGAGCAGGAAGGAGAUAUUUAUUUAGACUUCUUUCCCUUCGUUUUCUCCCCUUUCCUCCCCUCCUCCUCCCUCCCUCCUAUCUACUCACUUAUACAUCCAUCCAUCCAUCCAUCCAUCCAUCCUCUCAUCCACCCCUCUAUCCUUCCUUCAUCUACCCAAUCGUCCAUUUAUCCAUCCAUCCAUCUACCCACCUGCCCAUCCUCCCAUCUACCUUUCCUCCCUCCCUCCCUCCCUUCCUUCCUUUUUUCCUUCCUUGCAUCCAUCCAACCAUCCAACCACCCGGCCAUCUAUCCAAGGAAGGCUGUAGUGGGCAAAAUUUAGAGAAGAGUCAAACUCUUCUUUCCAUAAGGCUCUUUGAUAUAGCUUAUUUGAAAUGUCUUGAAACAAUUUAAGCAUCAUUCACUGGCACAGUAAGAAUGAGUGAUAACCUAAGAGAAUUCUUUUGUGUCUUCAAAGGAUUUUUCUCCCUGGGCACAGGAAAGAUCCCAAUAAGAUUUAGUAACCCUUUCUGCCUUUCAAAUGUCAACAAUGUUCAAUGUUCUGAGCUGUUAAAAGCUGCAGAACUGACUUUAAUGUCCAGUGGAGGGCUUAGUGAAGGAACAAGAACACUGCUGUAGCCCAGUCUACGAGCAGGGCUGACAAACAGGCGUAGGUGGCUGAGCUGGCCACAUUACAGAGGCCCAAGGUCCAGUGGGACCCAAAUUGGUACACAAGAUUUGCUGACAGGCCUGAUAAAAAAGUUUCACCAAGGCCCAAGUUCCCUCUCCAUGAAUGUGCAAUCCGAGCACACAGCUCACAGGUACCUGGACGUACACUCUCCUGGUCCUCACUCCUGUUUUCCAAGCCACUAAACCAUCAAAUGAUCUCUUGAAACACUGACUAAUAGGAGGUAGCUCUUUUUGGUUCCCUAAGAGUAUUCCUUUUAUGGUUAAAAACUCUCCGGAAGAGAUUAAAUUCUGAUGUGGGAUGGCACUGAAUACUCUAAAGUCUUUGGUUAAACAUAAGUAGAGAAGUGUGUCACAUAAUCGAUUUUCAAAUUCAAAUAAUUACCCACAGAUUUCAAACUCAGACAUAUAUUUGAAAAUAACAUAGAUUUUCUAAUUUCUUUUUUGUUUUUCCUACAAAGCAACCAUAUGGGACCAAGCAGAAAUAAACCCACACAUUUUUGGAGGAAGUUAAAAGAAAUUAAGUGAAAAACAAAACACAUUCUAAGGCAAAUGUAAAUGACAAUUUUCUAUGUUCCUCUAAGAAAGAAUAUUAUUAGGGAGCACUAUCUUAGUUCUUUUAGUAUAUCAACUGCUUAAUGAGAAUGAGAAUCUAUUGACUACAAGAAUUACUUUGUAAAAAAAAGGGGAGGGAGUAAUUUACCAUGUCAUUUUCAGCUUGGAAACUGAGGUAAUGUGGACUGAAAGUGAAUUUGGAUAUAGUAAUACACUAACAACAAUUAUCGCAAAUGGAAUAUUUUACAUAUUUUAUCUCCUCUACUCGAUAAAAGGUUAUCCCCGUUUGGGAGAAGAGAAAAUUGAGGCCCACUUGCUUCAUGGUUAUACAGCCAAAUUGUGACAGUCAAUACCUCAAACCACCCUCUCUCCCCAGUCUUCUCUCCUAUAUGGUCCUGUCCUAAUUCUCCCUCCCCCUUGUCACUCCCAGCAAAUGUUUUGCUCAAGAACUUCAGGAAACCUUCCCAGGCAGCUCAUCACCAGGUAUGACUGCCCCAGGAUGUAGCCAAAGGGAGGCGGGGGGGGGGGGGGGGGGGGGGGGNGGGUGGUGGUGGGGGAACCAGACCCUUCUCUCCUUUGGUCUGCUCUGGGACAGGCAGCAUCCGGCCAACCCAGCCAUGGUGCCCCAGGCAGCCUCCCAGCGCUCCUUCCUUGGACCCAGGCUCCACGCGGUUACCUUUCUUGAGUAGCACCACAGUUGCGUCACAAUUGCUGCUGUCAUCGAUUUCUGCAUUGUUGGCUAAGCCGUUGACCAUGUUUCCAGUACCUUUCGUUCUCCUUUCGAAGCACUGAUGGAUGCAAGCGUUAUAUCUGAACAAAGUAAUGAGCAGAAGGAGUCUGUCAGUGUUUGCUGCUGCCCCAUUUCCCAUCCCCCAUCCAGUGUUGUGCGCAGCUCCCAGUCUAGGUGUGUUAUUGUCAUUAUUAUUUUGUCCUCCCGUUUUCCCUGCAGAAAAUGCACCCUGUCCUAUUUUCCAAUUUAAGGAUCUAUGGUAAAUGAAAAUAAAACCAACAUUACAUAAAUAAAUAGAGACCCACUGCUUUCUUUGCAGCCUCUUCAAGGUCAAUGGAGGCACCCCAGGAUUGAGGUCCCCUGCUUGCAGUCUGUGUGUGGAAGGGUCGCCAUGAGGCUCAGUGGGAUGGGCAAGGUCUACCUUCUUUUGGCCGUGUCUCCAGGACCCACUGCUGCAGGGACCUGCUCAGUGGGGGGAAGGAGGAAGGAGCAGGUGUCACAUCCACGCUGCUACCCAGUGUGUCACAGGCUGGCUGGCACUCUAGGCCUCUGUCUGUGUUUGGUUUUCUAAAAUCACAGGUUGGGAUCCUGUGAAUCUCUUGUUAAUGCUGUAUUAGGGGGCCUGGGUGGCUCAGUCGGUUAAGCAUCCGAUUUUGGCUCAGGUCAUAAUCUCAUGGUUUGUGAGUUUGAGCCCCGCCUUAGGCUCUGUGCUGACAGCUCAGAGCCUGAAGCCUGCUUCGGAUUCUGUGUCUCCCUCUCUCACUUCCCCUCCCCCACUCACUCUCUGUCCCCCCCCCCCAAAAUAAAUAAACAUAAAAAAAAAUUUAAUGCUGUGCUAUAAUUCCAGGUCUGAUGGGCUGCUGGCUUCAUAGGAAAAAUUCUGGGCUAUGAUCCUUAGAAUGACUGAGUGAAAACAUUGUGCAGUUCAUCUUACAUGUGUGUUAAAAAAGAAGCUUAUUCAAAUUCCUAGCACGUUUUUGGCAGGUAAAUGUUCUGGUCCCUUUAUCUUUAGUAUUAGAAGACCUCACCCCCCCUUACCAAAGAGGAAUCCUAGAAAACUCUUGGGGAAAGGGAGGGGGCAUUGUUCCCAGGGUGUUGUAGGCCACUGCUGCUUUUUGCCCUGCUCGAAGACCUAAAGGCCUUGGUGGCUUAUUGGCCAUGGGACAACCCACUGAGGUGUCUCUCCAGCUUGAUCUCUGGCCUCCCAGAGGAACUGCAGCCAGGCAUGGCAACUCUAAAUUGCCAGCUGGCAGGCCACUCAAGCUGUAUUUCCUCACACAAGCUUCUCUUCCACACCCUUUUUGCUGCUGCAGACAGGAGGCUCUGUGGAGUACUCUUCACUGAACCUAUGUUUCAGUCAGAGCAGCACUGGGUGGCUGGGCCCACUGGGAUAUGACAGCUAUCGUGGAAUAGAUGGAGGGACCCUCUGUGGCUGGACAGCCCCUUCCUGUACUCCCUGGGAGUUGCGGUUCACCCUCCAUUGUGUGAGGGAGAGAACAUAAAACUAGUCAAAGGUAAUGGUGGUUUCUGUGAAAAGGGAACCGGGCAGGCCAAUCCUAGAGCACUCUUUAUAAGAGGUGGAGAACAGAACCAGAACAUCACUAUUUUGCAAACCUAAAGAAAUGAUGGAGCCAGAUCCUGAGCAUCAGUGGCUGCCAAAACCACAGACAGGAGACAUCAAUGUGCCUGUUGAUGGCAGAAUUCACCACCACUUGGGACACAGUCUACCUUGAACUGGAUUGAUGGCUGGCAUAUAGGAAACACAGAGGUCAGAAGAACAGGAUGCACCAUACCCCCGGAUGUAACCAACAACUUCCAAACUGCGGGAGACUAUGUAGCUAAUAAUCCAACUUUGUCGAAGAAUAAAUUGCAAGGAAAAAAAAAAACAGAUGGGGGAUUUGUAGAUUAAAAGUUGGAGCAACUCGGGGCACCUGGGUGGCUCAGUUGGUUAAGCACUUGAUUUGGGGUCAGGUCAUGAUCUUGUGGUUUAUGAGUUUGAGCCCCACAUCAGGCUCUGUGCUGACAGCUCAGAGCCUGGAGCCUGCUUCAGAUUCUGUGUCUCCCCCUCUCUCUGCCCCUCCCAUGCUUAUGCUCUGUCUCUCUCUGUCUCUAAUAAAUGAACAUUAAAAAAAAUUAAAAAGAAAAAAAGGGGCACGUGGGUGGCUCAGUUGAUUGGGCGGCCGACUUCACCUCAGGUCAUGAUCUCACGAUCUGUGAAUUCGAGCCUUGUGUCUGGCUCUGUGCUGACAGCUCGGAGCCUGGAGCCUGCUUCAGAUUCUGUGUCUCCCUCUCUCUCUGCCCCUCCCCUGUGCAUACUCUAUUUCUCUCUCUCUUUCUCUUUUUCUCUCUCUCUCAAAAAAAAAAAAAAUAAACAUCAAA
rnacentral:lncRNA from 1 species